rnacentral:rRNA from 1 species
CGGAGGUAGUUCGGGGAGGACAGGUGGUGCAUGGUUGUCGUCAGCUCGUGUCGUGAGAUGUUGGUUAAGUCCCGCAACGAGCGCAACCCUAUUGCUAGUUACCAUCAUUAAGUUGGGGACUCUAGCGAGACUGCCAGUGAUAAACUGGAGGAAGGUGGGGAUGACGUCAAAUCAUCAUGCCCCUUAUGACCUGGGCUACAAACGUGAUACAAUGGCUGGAACAAAGGGAUGCGAAGCAGUGAUGUGGAGCGAAACCCAUAAAAACAGUCUCAGUUCGGAUUGAAGUCUGCAACUCGACUUCAUGAAGUCGGAAUCGCUAGUAAUCGCGGAUCAGAACGCCGCGGUGAAUACGUUCUCGGGGUUU